AUACGGAGGAUCCGAGCGUUAUCCGGAUUUAUUGGGUUUAAAGGGUGCGCAGGCGGGAGAUUAAGUCGGCGGUGAAAUUUUGGAGCUCAACUGUAAAAGGGACUUCGAUCCUGGGUUGCUUGAGUGGGGGAGAAUUAGGCAGAAUUUGUGGGGUAGCGGUGGAAUGCUUAGAUAUCACGAGGAACUCCGAUUGCGCAGGCAGCUUACUAAACCACUACUGACGCUCAGGCACGAAGGCGUGGGGAUCAAACAGGAUUAGAUACCCUGGUAGUCCACGCAGUAAACGAUGAUUACUGGCUGUUUGCGAUACAAUGUAAGCGGCUGAGCGAAAGCGUUAAGUAAUCCACCUGGGGAGUACGUUCGCAAGAAUGAAACUCAAAGGAAUUGACGGGG
rnacentral:rRNA from 1 species